CAGCCGCCGCGGGAAUACGAGGGGAGCUAGCGUUGUUCGGAAUUACUGGGCGUAAAGCGCGCGUAGGCGGCUUUUUAAGUCAGAGGUGAAAGCCCGGGGCUCAACCCCGGAAUUGCCUUUGAAACUGGAAAGCUAGAAUCUUGGAGAGGUCAGUGGAAUUCCGAGUGUAGAGGUGAAAUUCGUAGAUAUUCGGAAGAACACCAGUGGCGAAGGCGACUGACUGGACAAGUAUUGACGCUGAGGUGCGAAAGCGUGGGGAGCAAACAGGAUUAGAUACCCCCGUAGUCCCUGUCUCUUAUAC
rnacentral:rRNA from 1 species